rnacentral:rRNA from 1 species
GAUGAGCGCUGGCGGCGUGCUUAACACAUGCAAGUCGAACGGAGUUUAUAAGACAGAUUCCUUCGGGAUGAAGACUUAUAAACUUAGUGGCGGACGGGUGAGUAACGCGUGGGUAACCUGCCUUACACAGGGGGAUAGCAGUUGGAAACGACUGGUAAUACCGCAUACCUUGCAAUAGUCGCAUGACUUAUGUAAGAAAGAUUUAUCGGUGUAAGAUGGACCCGCGUCUGAUUAGCUAGUUGGUACGGUAACGGCGUACCAAGGCGACGAUCAGUAGCCGGCCUGAGAGGGUGAACGGCCACAUUGGGACUGAGAUACGGCCCAG